rnacentral:misc_RNA from 1 species
CGCACCUUGCGCUCCUUGGUAUUCCAUGGAGCAUGCCUGUUUGAGUGUCACGUAAACCCUCACUCUUGUGAUGUCAAAGUCGCAAGAAGUGGAAUUGGACCGUGCCGUAGCCGGCUCGUCCUGAAAUGCAUUAGCUAGCGCCUUUUAGAGUGCUCGGCAUGGUGUGAUAAUUAUCUUCACCGUCGCCUUAGGCCUCUUCUACAAGUGCUGCUUACAGCCGUCCCUUGCGGACAAUUUACUUAACGCUUUGGCCUCAAAUCAGGUAGGACUACCCGCUGAACUUAA